rfam:Canis lupus familiaris chromosome 28, whole genome shotgun sequence.
UUGUUCUCAUUUAGGCAACACAUGUACUAAAAUUGGAAUAAUACAGAGAAGAUUAGCAUGGCCCCUGAACAAGGAUGACACACAAAUUCGUGAAGUGUUCCAUAUUUUU